rnacentral:rRNA from 1 species
AUUGAACGCUAGCGGCAUGCCUUACACAUGCAAGUCGAACGAGUGGCGGACGGGUGAGUAAUAUAUCGGAAAGUGCCUAGUAGAGGGGGAUAACUACUCGCAACUGUGGCUAAUACCGCAUACUAUCGGAUGUGCCGAUAUCGGAUUAGCUUGUUGGUGGGGUAAAGGCGCACCAAGGACACGAUCCGUAGCUGGUUUGAGAGGAGGACCAGCCACACUGGAACUGAGACACGGCCCAGACUCCGACGGGAGGCAGCAGUGGGGAAUAUUGGACAAUGGGGGAAACCCUGAGCCAGCCAUCCCGCGUGUAUGAGAAGGCCUUCGGGUUGUAAAGUACUUUUGGCAGAGAAGCGGUAUCUGCAGAAUAAGCACCGGCUAACUACGUGCCAGCAGCCGCGGUAAUAC